GGUUGUCUGCAUUUUACUAGGUCGCCUGCUAAACUUUCUUAUCACUGUAAGCAUAUCUCAGUACCACAUUCCCUCCUUCUAAACAAUGUAACUCUGCAAAAACAACAUUUCUAUUCCCACACCACUGAAGGCCUUGAAAGUGGGAUAUGAUUCUCAAAGUUCUCCCCCUUAAAAUGAGAACGUGUCCCCUCCCCACACUGGGUAUGUGUAGACUCACAUCUCCUUCCUCCCAAAGCGUUUCUUAAGAACCAGGUUCUUCCAGGUGGGAAUUUUCAAUGCGUUCUGUUGCAGUAGCACCACUGCUCUGAUGUCACUUCACCUGGGAAUGGAGAAGUCCUGGGAUUGAGCCUCUUCCGCAGCCAGGAUUAUGUCUGUUUCCUGUGCAAUAGCCUGUUGAGUAUAAAGAUAGCAAGUGUUAGUAAAGAAUCUUUCUUUACAGUAUAGCUAGAGCACAAGAGAUAAUGCCCUGAUUCAUUGCUUACCCAGUAUUUCAAGCAAAGAGAAUUUGAAACAAGUCUAACCUUUAUUUACUACAAAACACAGACACAAUAUACCUGCUGAUUCUAUGGUUUAUAUGCUGCACUGAAACAGUUAAAAGCUGCUUUAUCAUAGUUACAUAAAUUCACAUGUACCUCAAAGACAUUCCAGGUGUCCUGAUUCUUGCAUUAAAAAAAGAAAAAAAAAAAAAGAAGAAGAAAAAUCAGCCUUAAUAAUUGAAGGUCAUAUAAUUAAAGUUUCAGUCUGCUGUAAAUUCACAUAGCCAGGUCAUUAUCCAUUUCCCUAAACCACCUAUAUAAAGCAAAUGGCUGAUGGCUUGCAAAUAUUGCAACAUUACCUGGCCACUGCUGAACUGAAUAGAAAAACAAAAUACAAAGCUACUUUUCACAUGCUUACCAUCUUUCUAGGUUACUCUAUGUUUUCCUAAUGUGAUGGUUAUUUGUUUCUGGGGUCUUGCGAUGCACUCUGCAUUCAAUGUAGCAUUCAACAAUUCUGAUAUGAUUUGACAAAAGUAUUUCAGGUUAUGUUAAAUAUAGUACUCUUGCUACGUGAUCUUUUUCUAAAGGAUAGCUAGUGUGUCAGACAUUCAUUGCAAUGCUAAUAUUUAAAAAACAACUAUUGGGAUUAAAUAAAGUGUUUCAUUGCUUAGUAAAUAUUUGGACAUUUUAUUGCUUUCAUUAAAAGUGUUUUUUAAUGAAGUUUCCUAGUUUUUCAGAAAGCAACUUGCUGAACUAUACAUUUUUCAAUUAUUUUUGAACAGGCCUUUAAAUGAAAAUCCUGUGAUAUAUUGUGAGUGUUAGAGCAUUAAUUGAGAAUUCAUGCAUUUGGGUCACUAUACAGAAUGCAGUGGCUGCAAGAUUACUGUUACUGCCAUGCACACAAAGAUGUGUAGUAUUUGAUUAUACUUAUUUAUUUUUUAAAUAAAACUACAUGACUUGAGACUAUUUACUGAUAUAUCCAAAAUGCAUCAGUGACACCUAAGAAAGCCCUGUUCAGUAGGUAUGUAUUUAAUAGGGGGCUUUGUCUCUCAUUAGCAUCUCACAGACAAUGCACAUCCCAUUUAGGUCAGGACUAUGUCCUUUCUUGACUAAAGUUUGUAGAAAUGACCUAGAUUAUGUUGCACUUGGAUAGACAAAUGCACCAGAUGCAAAAUGCUCUUUUCUUCCCUUCUGGCUUUGUGCAAGCAUUACAAUGUCUGUACCCUGGAUGUUCUACAGAUGUUUCUGUCCCAUGAUGUCUCACAAUUUUCUUUAGGGAAAUCGACAUUUUUAUUCAUUGCUCCCCUUCACUGAGUAGGAUUGCCAAGCAGCAGAAUUUAAGACAAGCAGCUCAGUGAAGGAUCUGUGCAAGAUCUGCAGCAAAGAGAGGUCAGGGAGCCUUGCAAAGUGCCAAGAACUGCAGGGAAUGUAGGAGACCAAAGAUACUGACAGCACCUGAUGAUUGAAAGUGCUACUUUUCCAACAAAAAAAUUCCACAUGAAUGUUACGAUCCAGAGAGUUUCUUGUGCCAGUGCUAUCCCCCAAGUUCUCAAAAUAUUCUCAGAUUAAUGGAACAGAUAUCUCACUGAUCUAGCUUUAGGUUUUAUAAGCCAAUGGGUUACAGUAAAUGUUGUGUUUCUGUAGUUCCAUUUCAAGAGUGAGAAGAGGUUUCACACCUAAUAGUGCUGAUCUUGUGAGGUAAGCAAGUAAAUAUCAUCAUUAACUGCUGACAAGUGAUCUGUGUUUCACUCUAACUUGAUAUCAUUGAGCAACAAAUCCUUUCAAGAUGAGGUAGCUAGCUCAGAUCCAGAGGGAAGGGAGUGCCUUGCAUCACCCCACAGCUCACUUUUUGGAUGUCAGCCUUGCUGCUGGACUCGGGAGGAAGUCCCAUCUAGUCUUCUUCAGCCAGAAGUUAGCAACUGAGACACAGUUGGAGUCUGCGUACACACUGGAGACAGUGUACAGAGAGAGGGUGAGCUCAGACAUCUACAGGACUCUGACAGCAUUGUAGAGGACUUCAGAAGGACAAAUUUAACAGUUGGUAUUAGUGAAAUUUUUGAAUAUGUAGAAAUACAAAAUCUUUUGUUCUAUGGCUGCACAAAAAGGGGCCUUGAUUCUUGAAUUUCCCAGGAGGAAGAAAAUGAAGGCUUUGCAUUCACAGAUAGUUCUCAAAGGAUUCAGUGGUUUUGGACACUGGAAAAUGUGAACAAAUGUCUUUAACCAAAUAGUGCUCAUUUUCAGAAGAGGAUAGUUGUUAAUCUUUUGGAGGUGAGGUCCUCUGCAUCUUUAGAAAUGGAAGAGCACACUGGAAACUCAUUCCUCGGCAUAUGUUCAAAGCAAAAGAACAUCUCUUCCUUUACUCAAUAUCCCAAUGUUGUGGUUGAAUUGGAGACACCACCACUACAGAUCAUGGAGUUAUGGACAGCUGAUUACAAGAGAAUUAUACCCCUGUUUGCUUUUUCUCUCCGUUGCAUUUAAAUUGUGAUGACUUCCCAAUGCCACCUAGAACACUGCUUUCUGUGAUCUCUCUCAGCCUUGACCUCCUUCAUCAACAUAUUUGACUGCAAUGGGCACCAUUCCCCUUGUCUGCCUUUCUAGCAGUUUUUUUUCUUUUAAUCCUUCUCUAAUCCAUUCAUGACAUGUUAAAAUAGCAAACCUACCUCCUAGAUUCACUGCAGAUCCAUUGCAUUUUUGUCUUGUUCCUAAACGGAAUUCUGUCCAUUGUGAGCCUUUUUGUUACCUUCCCUGUUGCUAUCCUGUAUGAAAAGAUCAAACUCUACUGAAGUUACAUAUAAAAUGCUUGUGCAUUUCAGGAAGAGAAAACUAACAAUCAAUACUUUAAUUUUGUACAAAACUACUUAUUAUCAUUUGCAGAUCAUAACUAUCAGACUGCAUUGCUUUGGUUGUUGGUGAACUGAAUAAACUACAUUCAAGUAUUCAAAU